GUUAUGCCUGUCUUAUAGCUGGUUUAGGCUGUGGAGGGACACAGGUGUAGAGAAAUGACAGGGAAUAAACAGAAUUGGUGUUAAAAGGAAAUGGGGAGGGGUGGUAAUCCUUCCUCUUCAUCUCUGAAGAAUUAUAGCCGGUGGUCUGAAUCUUCCCUGAGACGAAGAAGCAUUCACCUAGCUGUACCUGACCUGCCGCUCAGAGGGAAUCUGACUAUUAAAGGGGAAAAAACUCUGUUGCUUUGAAGUUCAAUGAACCAGAUGGCGGAUAUUCUGAAAUUUUUUCCGAUCUAAAAGAGUGGGGUAAUGUGGUGGAGGACCACUCAGCCUUGUGCUAUCACUGCUGGAUCAGAGCCUCACUUACCUCGCUAUUCAUUCUCUUCUCCCCUUGCGUUGGCCACCAAUGACGAGAAGUUGCCUGGGAUACUUUUUGUUGUUAUGAAUGGGGUGUCAUUAAAGUGAAUCUUGUUUACUCCAAAUGUCUCUGAUUGGUAUAUCACAAAAAGUCAAUCAUUCAAUCCUCUAAGAUUGAAACCUGGACAGCAACUCAACUCUGGGAAGGUAACCUUUCUGUUCUACAGAAAAU
rnacentral:lncRNA from 1 species